GCGGUGGGCGGGGUGCUAUACAUGCAGUCGACGCACAGCGAAAGGUGCUUGCACCUUUCAAGUGAGUGGCGAACGGGUGAGUAACACGUGGACAACCUGCCUCAAGGCUGGGGAUAACAUUUGGAAACAGAUGCUAAUACCGAAUGAAACUUAGUGUCGCAUGAUACGAAGUUAAAAGGCGCUUUGGCGUCACCUAGAGAUGGAUCCGCGGUGCAUUAGUUAGUUGGUGGGGUAAAGGCCUACCAAGACAAUGAUGCAUAGCCGAGUUGAGAGACUGAUCGGCCACAUUGGGACUGAGACACGGCCCAAACUCCUACGGGAGGCUGCAGUAGGGAAUCUUCCACAAUGGGCGAAAGCCUGAUGGAGCAACGCCGCGUGUGUGAUGAAGGCUUUCGGGUCGUAAAGCACUGUUGUAUGGGAAGAACAGCUAGAAUAGGGAAUGAUUUUAGUUUGACGGUACCAUACCAGAAAGGGACGGCUAAAUACGUGCCAGCAGCCGCGGUAAUACGUAUGUCCCGAGCGUUAUCCGGAUUUAUUGGGCGUAAAGCGAGCGCAGACGGUUGAUUAAGUCUGAUGUGAAAGCCCGGAGCUCAACUCCGGAAUGGCAUUGGAAACUGGUUAACUUGAGUGCAGUAGAGGUAAGUGGAACUCCAUGUGUAGCGGUGGAAUGCGUAGAUAUAUGGAAGAACACCAGUGGCGAAGGCGGCUUACUGGACUGUAACUGACGUUGAGGCUCGAAAGUGUGGGUAGCAAACAGGAUUAGAUACCCUGGUAGUCCACACCGUAAACGAUGAACACUAGGUGUUAGGAGGUUUCCGCCUCUUAGUGCCGAAGCUAACGCAUUAAGUGUUUCCGCCUGGGGAGUACGACCGCAAGGUUGAAACUCAAAGGAAUUGACUGGGGACCCGCACAAGCGGUGGAGCAUGUGGUUUAAUUCGAAGCAACGCGAAGAACCUUACCAGGUCUUGACAUCCUUUUGAAGCUUUUACAGAUAGAACUGUUCUCUUCGGAGACAAAUGACAGUGGUGCUUGGUCUUCGUCAUCUCCUGUCCUGAGAAGUGGGUUAGUCCCGCAACAAGC
rnacentral:rRNA from 1 species